rnacentral:rRNA from 1 species
UACGAAGGGUGCAAGCGUUACUCGGAAUUACUGGGCGUAAAGCGUGCGUAGGUGGUUCGUUAAGUCUGAUGUGAAAGCCCUGGGCUCAACCUGGGAAUGGCAUUGGAAACUGGCGACCUAGAGUGCGGUAGAGGGUAGUGGAAUUCCCGGUGUAGCAGUGAAAUGCUUAGAUAUCGUCAAGAACACCUAUAGCGAAGGCAGCUUACUAGGCUGUAACUGACGCUGAGGCACGAAAGCGUGGGGAUCAAACAGG